rnacentral:rRNA from 1 species
UACGUAGGGUGCGAGCGUUAAUCGGAAUUACGUGGGCGUAAAGCGUGCGCAGGCGGUGAUGUAAGACAGAUGUGAAAUCCCCGGGCUCAACCUGGGAACUGCAUCUGUGACUGCAUCGCUGGAGUGCGGCAGAGGGGGAUGGAAUUCCGCGUGUAGCAGUGAAAUGCGUAGAUAUGCGGAGGAACACCGAUGGCGAAGGCAAUCCCCUGGGCCUG